AAAAAUAUAGUUCAAAAAGUAAAAUGAUAUAUGGGCUUUUUAAUGCUCAUAAUCGAUUAUUAGUUAGGUUUAAUUGAUUAUGUAGGCUAAAUAUAUAAGGUUUUCAAUUCAUCAUCACUAUUCGAUUAUAAGCCCUCUUAAACGAUUAAGAUGCGUUACAAAAGUGAUAAUCGAUUAACCGUAGUAUGUUAACCAAUUAUCUAGUAUAAAUAACACUCCCAAAGGUUUAUUCAAGUUAAUAACCAACUAUUU
rnacentral:lncRNA from 1 species